rnacentral:rRNA from 1 species
CCGUAGGUGAACCUGCGGAAGGAUCAUUAUCGAAUAAACUUGAACAGGCUGUUGCUGGUCCCCAGGACAUGUGCACGCUUGUCAUCUUUAUCAUUUCUCCAACUGUGCACAUAUUGUAGACCCUGGAGGUUUUGUCUUUUGGAUUAGUUUCCGAGUUUUGGGACUGCUGUGCCUCGAAGAAAGAGGUCGGCUUUCCCUUUACAUCCUCCAGGUCUAUGUCACAACCUCUCGAACGUGUUUAGAAUGUUGAAUAAAAGGUCCUUUUGUACCUAUAAAGUUAUAAAUACAACUUUCAGCAACGGAUCUCUUGGCUCUCGCAUCGAUGAAGAACGCAGCGAAAUGCGAUAAGUAAUGUGAAUUGCAGAAUUCAGUGAAUCAUCGAAUCUUUGAACGCAUCUUGCGCUCCUUGGUAUUCCGAGGAGCAUGCCUGUUUGAGUGUCAUUUAAAUUCUCAAACCACUUGACAGUGGCUUUGGAUGUGGGGGGCUUGCAGGCUUUCUUCUCAAGUCUGCUCCCCUGAAAUGCAUUAGUGGUAUCUGGAGCGGAAACCGCUAGGUGUGAUAAUUAAUCGUCUACGCCUUUGGUAUGCCGCAUAAAACAGAUUGUGCUGCUUCCAACACGCACUUUUUGACAAACUUGACCUCAAAUCAGGUAGGACUACCCGCUGAACUUAAGCAUAUCAAUAAGCGGAGGAA